GUGGGGCGUGCGGCGGGCUAUAAUGCAGUCGAGCGAACGGAUAAGGAGCUUGCUCCUUUGAAGUUAGCGGCGGACGGGUGAGAAACACGUGGGUAACCUACCUAUAAGACUGGAAUAACUUCGGGAAACCGGAGCUAAUGCCGGAUAACAUUUGGAACCGCAUGGUUCUAAAGUAAAAGAUGGUUUUGCUAUCACUUAUAGAUGGACCCGCGCCGUAUUAGCUAGUUGGUAAGGUAACGGCUUACCAAGGCAACGAUACGUAGCCGACCUGAGAGGGUGAUCGGCCACACUGGAACUGAGACACGGUCCAGACUCCUACGGGAGGCAGCAGUAGGGAAUCUUCCGCAAUGGACGAAAGUCUGACGGAGCAACGCCGCGUGAGUGAUGAAGGUUUUCGGAUCGUAAAACUCUGUUAUUAGGGAAGAACAAAUGUGUAAGUAACUGUGCACAUCUUGACGGUACCUAAUCAGAAAGCCACGGCUAACUACGUGCCAGCAGCCGCGGUAAUACGUAGGUGGCAAGCGUUAUCCGGAAUUAUUGGGCGUAAAGCGCGCGUAGGCGGUUUCUUAAGUCUGAUGUGAAAGCCCACGGCUCAACCGUGGAGGGUCAUUGGAAACUGGGAAACUUGAGUACAGAAGAGGAAAGUGGGAAUUCCAUGUGUAGCGGUGAAAUGCGCAGAGAUAUGGAGGAACACCAGGUGGGCGAAGGCGACUUUCUGGUCUGUAACUGACGCUGAUGUGGCGAAAGCGUGGGGGAUCAAACAGGAUUAGGAUACCCUGGGUAGUCCACGCCGUAAACGAUGAGUGCUAAGUGUUAGGGGGGUUUCCGCCCCUUAGUGGCUGCAGCUAACGCAUUUAGCACUCCGCCUGGGGGACUACGACCGUCAAGGGUUGAUACUUCACAGUAAUUGACGGGGAACCCGCCUCAAGCGGUGGAGCAUGUGUUUUAAUUCGAAGCAACGCGGAGGACUUUACCAAAUCUGGACGUCGUUGGAAACUCUAGAGAUGAGUCUUCCCAUUCGGGGGACAAAGUUGACAGGGUGCUGCAUGCAUGUCGUCAGUCUCCUGUCAUGAGAUGUAGGUUAAGGUCGGCACGAGCGCUACUCCUGACUAGUGCAGCAUUAGUUGGCACUCUAGGGUGACUUGCGGGUGACAUCUGGAGGACGUAGGGGUAAGCUAAUCGAUGGGCGUGAGACUGGCUGGACGAUGGGCGUUCAACAUGGGCGCACAGUGAGCAGCUAAACCGCGAGGUCAUGCAAAUCCCAUAAAGUUGUUCUCAGUUCGGAUUGUAGUCUGCAACUCGACUACAUGAAGCUGGAAUCGCUAGUAAUCGUAGAUCAGCAUGCUACGGUGAAUACGUUCCCGGGUCUUGUACACACCGCCUGUUUCACCACGAGAGUUUGUAACACCCGAAGCCGGGGAGUAACCAUUUAUGAGCAGCCUCGAAGUGACAAAUCCCGUGCCCCCGAGAG
rnacentral:rRNA from 1 species